GAAAAUGUCAGAUUGAGUCCAUGUGAGAAAACAGCAGUUUUAGUUGCAGCUCGACCUCAAUUGACGUGUUCAGUGAGUUGUGAUGUUCUGACAGUCGCCUCUACUCUGACUGCUCACACUGUGGAGGUGUGAGACCUUCGUCUCUGCUGCUAAUCUCAUCCCAGCGAUGAGAGGAUUAGAGGAAACGCUUCUGUUACCACCACUGCUUUUCAAAAAGCUACUUCUGCUUUCUCACAAAAAAACAAAUCCUCUCAAAAACCAGAAUAACUAUCUGAAAUCUAUCCAACUCUCACAUCCGGCCCGGCUGCUUGUUUCUAACACCCACCGAAGCUUCUCAACCUCAGAGGUAGAAAUAGACAUGAUUGAGUGAUUUAUACUUUUGGACACGCGGCGCUCUGGAGGACUUGAUGCUGCACAUCGACCAUCACAGCUCAGGAGCGGCCUAAUCUGGUGUUUGCAGGGACAUCAGGUUUCUCAUCUCAGCUGGGGCUCCAGUGACAGCAGCUAGCCAGCUAGCCGGCUAGCCGGCUAGCUGGCUAGCUGGCUAGCUGCCGCUUAGCUCCAGAGCACUUGCUGCAUGUCCGGCAUCGAACCCGCUGCGCGGACAGUGACGUCAUCCCAAGAAGAACCGUACAGACGUGUAUUUUCGGUAACGGGUCGAUGACGCAGCGGCGGAAGCUCAGAGGACCCGCGGCCUGCGACCACAGCUGAUGCUAAAGCUAAUGUUGUCAGGGGUUACACGUAGGCUGGCUACCGCUAGCACGUUAGCACGUUAGCUUGUUAGCUUGUUAGCUUGUUAGCGGACGGACCGGAGGAGCAGCGGCGCAGUGGCCGCGGGGCUCGACCUCUGUACCUGUGGUGUGAGGAGCAGCCGCCGGGGUUUCUCCGCUUCAUCAUCUCUUCAUCAUCACCGACACACCGGAGGAGCCUCGAGCUGGACUACGGCACCGGACACCGCCGGUAAACUACCCGGCAUGCACCGCGGCAGACCAGGGGGGCGGGGUCACAGCGCGCUGCUGCCACCUGUCGAUCACAGGUGUCACAUCACAUCCGGGACAUUUUAAGGUGUGAAACAUACAAUUUCUGAAUUCCUUAUUUCAAACUGGGAGUUUGGCCUCAUGGUGGCGCUAGAGAGAAGGUCAGGGGAUCACACGAUGGCGUCAGGAAUCCUUUUCCUGAUCAUGAAUAUCCAAAACCAUUUUUCAUUGUGAGAUGAAGUAAUUAAGUGUUUGAUGUUCAGACUAGUGUAUGUACAUUUUGUGUGGAUCUUCUGGUUUAAAUAAAGUCUCUGCAAAGUG